AUUUCCUGUCCGGUGCAUGGAAAUGACUCGUGUGUGCCAAUGGCUCAUCUUCCCUUCGUCAGGUGAUUGAAGGGCCGUGGACCAGAUUCUGAUUUCAACAAUGGCAAGAAGCUGAGCUGAUUGACCUGUUCGAUAUUGGGAAAACUGCUUCGUGUGUGGGAAGAUGAUGUCAUGAAAUAACACGCUGCAGGCAGCUCUGUUAACUUAAUGGGAACAGAGGUUAAGAGGAAACUUUUAAAAGAAAAAAAAAGUUUUUCCAGACUGAAGCUGAGGACUUGGCGAGAAAACACAAAAUGUCUUCUGAAGGAAAAAAACUUUUCAACAUCAUUAUUUUGGGAGUCUCGUUUAUGUUUAUAUUCACUGCUUUCCAGACAUGUGGAAAUAUUGCGCAAACUGUUAUCACAAAUUUAAACAACACGGACUUCCAUGGCAGUGGCUACACAAGGUAAUUUACACAGAUUGUAAAUUAUUACUUAUUACUUUGCUCCUUGCAGGGUGAAGCUGGUUACA
rnacentral:lncRNA from 1 species